ensembl:lncRNA
GGAACCAAUGUGCGUGGGCACGAGUUUUGGGGGGGGAACCAAUAUUAGUGGGCACCACACCAUAGGGGGACCGAUAUGGGUGGGACUCCGGGUCGGGUUUGAGCCCCAGGCGGCCAUAGCUGAGCCGGGCUGCCGGCCCCAUAGAUUGGGGGGGGGCCAACCCAACGGGGACCCCACCCCACACAUUUGGGGGUGGCCACGGAACCCCCGGAGGGCGGCCCCAUAGAUUUGGCCACCCGAAAAUGGGGGGAGGCAAACAAAGCAUCGUCCUAUGGGAUGGGAUGGGGGGGGGGAAUUCAGCACCCUAUGGGAUGUGGGGCACACCGUUGUCCUAUGGGAUGUGGGGUGGCCAUAUUAGGGUUGUGGGCGGCCAUAUUCAGCAUCCUAUGGGAUGUGGGGCAGCCAGACCAUCAUCCUAUGGGAUAUGGGGUGGCCAUAUUAGGGUUGUGGGGUGGCCAUAUUAGGGUUGGGGGGGGAAAUUCAGCACCCUAUGGGAUGUGGGGCAGCCAAACCGUCAUCCUAUGGGAUGUGGGGUGGCCAUAUUAGGCAUCCUAUGGGAUGUGGGGCAGCCAAACCGUCGUCCUAUGGGAUGUGGGGUGGCCAUAUUAAGGUUGUGGGGUGGCCAUAUUAGGGUUGGGGGGGGGAAAUUCAGCACCCUAUGGGAUGUGGGGCAGCCAAACCGUCAUCCUAUGGGAUGUGGGGUGGCCAUAUUAGGGUUGUGGGGUGGCCAUAUUCAGCAUCCUAUGGGAUGUGGGGCAGCCAAACCGUCGUCCUAUGGGUUGUGGGGCGGCCAAAUUAAGGAUAUG